rnacentral:rRNA from 1 species
UACAUGGGGUGCAAACGUUGCUCGGAAUUAUUGGGCGUAAAGCGCACGUAGGCGGCUUUCUAAGUCGGGGGUGAAAGCCUGUGGCUCAACCACAGAAUUGCCUUCGAUACUGGACGGCUCGAGACCGGAAGAGGUCAGUGGAACUGCGAGUGUAGAGGUGAAAUUCGUAGAUAUUCGCAAGAACACCAGUGGCGAAGGCGGCUGACUGGUCCGGUUCUGACGCUGAGGCGCGAAAGCGUGGGGAGCAAACAGG